AACGAACGCUGGCGGCAGGCUUAACACAUGCAAGUCGAACGCAUCCUUCGGGGUGAGUGGCAGACGGGUGAGUAACGCGUGGGAAUCUACCCAUCUCUGCGGAAUAGCUCCGGGCAACUGGAAUUAAUACCGCAUACGCCCUACGGGGGAAAGAUUUAUCGGGGAUGGAUGAGCCCGCGUUGGAUUAGCUAGUUGGUGGGGUAAAGGCCAACCAAGGCGACGAUCCAUAGCUGGUCUGAGAGGAUGAUCAGCCACAUUGGGACUGAGACACGGCGCAAACUACUACGGGAGGCAGCAGUGGGGAAUAUUGGACAAUGGGCGCAAGCCGGAUCCAGCCAUGCCGCGUGAGUGAGGAAGGCCUUAGGGUUGUAAAGCUCUUUCACCGAUGAAGAUAAUGACGGUAGUCGGAGAAGAAGCCCCGGCUAACUUCGUGCCAGCCGCCGCGGUAA
rnacentral:rRNA from 1 species